rnacentral:rRNA from 1 species
GAUGAACGCUGGCGGCGUGCCUAAUACAUGCAAGUCGAGCGAACAGACGAGGAGCUUGCUCCUCUGACGUUAGCGGCGGACGGGUGAGUAACACGUGGAUAACCUACCUAUAAGACUGGGAUAACUUCGGGAAACCGGAGCUAAUACCGGAUAAUAUAUUGAACCGCAUGGUUCAAUAGUGAAAGACGGUUUUGCUGUCACUUAUAGAUGGAUCCGCGCCGCAUUAGCUAGUUGGGAAGGUAACGGCUUACCAAGGCAACGAUGCGUAGCCGACCUGAGCGGGUGAUCGGCCACACUGGAACUGAGACACGGUCCAGACUCCUACGGGAGGCAGCAGUAGGGAAUCUUCCGCAAUGGGCGAAAGCCUGACGGAGCAACGCCGCGUGAGUGAUGAAGGUCUUCGGAUCGUAAAACUCUGUUAUUAGGGAAGAACAAAUGUGUAAGUAACUAUGCACGUCUUGACGGUACCUAAUCAGAAAGCCACGGCUAACUACGUG